GACGAACCGUCCAAACGUUGUUCGGAAUCACUGGGCUUAAAGGGCGCGUAGGCGGGCUUCCAAGUCAGGGGUGAAAUCUUUCGGCUCAACCGGAAAAGAGCCUUUGAUACUGGGAGCCUCGAGGGAGGUAGGGGUCGAUGGAACUGGUGGUGGAGCGGUGAAAUGCGUAGAUAUCACUAGGAACGCCGGUGGCGAAAGCGAUCGACUGGACCUCUUCUGACGCUGAGGCGCGAAAGCCAGGGGAGCAAACGGG
rnacentral:rRNA from 1 species